rnacentral:rRNA from 1 species
CCUGCCUUUAUCAGGGAGAUAGCCUUUCGAAAGGAAGAUUAAUACCCCAUAAUAUAUUAAGUGGCAUCACUUGAUAUUGAAAACUACGGUGGAUAGAGAUGGGCACGCGCAAGAUUAGAUAGUUGGUGAGGUAACGGCUCACCAAGUCUACGAUCUUUAGGGGGCCUGAGAGGGUGAUCCCCCACACUGGUACUGAGACACGGACCAGACUCCUACGGGAGGCAGCAGUGAGGAAUAUUGGACAAUGGGUGAAAGCCUGAUCCAGCCAUCCCGCGUGAAGGACGACGGCCCUAUGGGUUGUAAACUUCUUUUGUAUAGGGAUAAACCUAGAUACGUGUAUCUAGCUGAAGGUACUAUACGAAUAAGCACCGGCUAACUCCGUGCCAGCAGCC